rnacentral:rRNA from 1 species
GGAUAGCCCAGAGAAAUUUGGAUUAAUACCUUAUAGUUAAUAGAAUUGGCAUCGAUUUUAUUAUAAAGAUUUAUUGGUAUAAGAUGAGCAUGCGUCCCAUUAGUUAGUUGGUAAGGUAACGGCUUACCAAGACGAUGAUGGGUAGGGGUCCUGAGAGGGAGAUCCCCCACACUGGUACUGAGACACGGACCAGACUCCUACGGGAGGCAGCAGUGAGGAAUAUUGGUCAAUGGACGGAAGUCUGAACCAGCCAUGCCGCGUGCAGGAUGAAGCAUCUAUGGUGUGUAAACUGCUUUUGUACGGGAAGAAAAAAAGCUACGUGUAGCUUACUGACGGUACCGUAAGAAUAAGGAUCGGCUAACUCCGUGCCAGCAGCCGCGGUAAUACGGAGGAUCCAAGCGUUAUCCGGAAUCAUUGGGUUUAAAGGGUCCGUAGGCGGCCUUAUAAGUCAGCGGUGAAAGUUUUUGGCUUAACCAAAAAAUUGCCAUUGAUACUGUAGGGCUUGAAUUAUUGUGAAGUAACUAGAAUAUGUAGUGUAGCGGUGAAAUGCUUAGAUAUUACAUGGAAUACCAAUUGCGAAGGCAGGUUACUAACAAUA